ACAAGAAUUUCAUAGAAGUCAAGUUCCAUAAAGGUAUUUAUGUUGCAUUCAGUACUAAAGACAUAGAUAAGUGGUGCCUAGGAGGAUAGAGAGAGGGUGGCUGCUUUUGAGUUCUUUGGAAAGCUGACCAAAUUUAAUGAGAACUCAACUACUCUUUUUAGGACUUUAUUUUAUUUUAUUUUAUUAAAUGAAACUGACUUAGACACUUUAAAAAAUAUGGAAAAGUCUAGUUUAAGAAGAAAAAUCUGAUUAGAUUAGUGGGUGCCUUUAUAAAAAUAUUGAUGGUUUUGGAAUGCUCAAUGAAAAUGUAUAUACAAUAGCUGUGGUUUAAGAAUUCAUAUAUAAGGUAGGUUUUCUUUCCGCUUAUGAACUCCAAUAUUCUUACUUAGUUCCAUUUGAAAAUUAUGUUACUAUGGGAAGAUUUUCUUUAAGUUUGCUUGGUUGUAUUAAAAUUAUAAUUAUAGUUUCAGAAAGCAUUAUGAAAUUCAUGUGGUGAUAGCAAACUAAAUAUGGUCAAAAUUUAAGUCUAAAAUAAAAGCCCAGAAAUUG
rnacentral:lncRNA from 1 species